CGGGGGGAGCUAAGCGUUGUUCGGAUUUACUGGGCGUAAAGGGCGCGUAGGCGGCCAGCACAAGUCAGUUGUGAAAUCUCCGGGCUUAACUCGGAAAGGUCAACUGAUACUGUGCGGCUAGAGUGCAGAAGGGGCAACUGGAAUUCUCGGUGUAGCGGUGAAAUGCGUAGAUAUCGAGAGGAACACCUGCGGCGAAGGCGGGUUGCUGGGCUGACACUGACGCUGAUGCGCGAAAGCCAGGGGAGCGAACGGGAUUAGAUACCCCGGUAGUCCUGGCCUUAAACGAUGGAUGCUUGGUGUCUGGAGUUUUAUAGUCUCCGGGUGCCGUAGCUAACGCGUUAAGCAUCCCGCCUGGGGAGUACGGUCGCAAGACUG
rnacentral:rRNA from 1 species